rnacentral:rRNA from 1 species
UCUGGUUGAUCCUGNCGGAGGUUACUGCUAUCGAGGUUCGACUAAGCCAUGCGAGUCGAAUGUAGCAAUACAUGGCGUACUGCUCAGUAACACGUGGACAACCUACCCUUAGGCCUGGGAUAACCCCGGGAAACUGGGAAUAAUACCGGAUAUCUCGCGAAUGCUGGAAUGCGUCGCGAUAGAAAGCUCCGGCGCCUAAGGAUGGGUCUGCGGCCUAUCAGGGUAGUAGUGGGUGUAACGUACCUACUAGCCUACGACGGGUACGGGUUGUGAGAGCAAGAGCCCGGAGAUGGAUUCUGAGACACGAAUCCAGGCCCUACGGGGUGCAGCAGGCGCGAAAACUUUACAAUGCUGGAAACAGCGAUAAGGGGACCUCGAGUGCCAGGAUACAAUCCUGGCUGUCGUAAUGCCUAAAAAGCAUUGCAUAGCAAGGGCCGGGCAAGACCGGUGCCAGCCGCCGCGGUAACACCGGCGGCUCGAGUGGUAACCGCUAUUAUUGGGUCUAAAGGGUCUGUAGCCGGCUGACUAAGUCUCUUGGGAAAUCUGGCAGCUUAACUGUCAGGCUUUCAGGAGAUACUGAUCGGCUCGAGACCGGGAGAGGUGAGAGGUACCUCAGGGGUAGGGGUGAAAUCUUGUAAUCCUUGAGGGACCACCAGUGGCGAAGGCGUCUCACCAGAACGGAUCUGACGGCAAGGGACGAAAGCUAGGGGCACGAACCGGAUUAGAUACCCGGGUAGUCCUAGCCGUAAACGAUACUCGCUAGGUGUCGGCCACGGUGCGACCGUGGUCGGUGCCGUAGGGAAGCCGUGAAGCGAGCCACCUGGGAAGUACGGCCGCAAGGCUGAAACUUAAAGGAAUUGGCGGGGGAGCACUACAACGGGUGGAGCUUGCGGUUUAAUUGGAUUCAACGCCGGAAAUCUCACCGGGACCGACAGCGAUAUGAAGGCCAGGCUGAAGACCUUGCCGGAUUAGCUGAGAGGUGGUGCAUGGCCGUCGUCAGUUCGUACUGUGAAGCAUCCUGUUAAGUCAGGCAACGAGCGAGACCCA